rnacentral:rRNA from 1 species
UACGUAGGUGGCAAGCGUUGUCCGGAAUUAUUGGGCGUAAAGCGCGCGCAGGCGGUCCUUUAAGUCUGAUGUGAAAGCCCACGGCUCAACCGUGGAGGGUCAUUGGAAACUGGGGGACUUGAGUACAGGAGAGAAGAGUGGAAUUCCACGUGUAGCGGUGAAAUGCGUAGAGAUGUGGAGGAACACCAGUGGCGAAGGCGACUCUUUGGCCUGUAACUGACGCUGAGGCGCGAGAGCGUGGGGAGCAAACGGG